CCUACGGGAGACUGCAGUGAGGCAUAUUGGUCAAUGGGCUUACGCCUUAACCAGCCAAGUCGCGUGAGGGAAGACUGCCCUAUGGGUUGUAAACCUCUUUUGUCAGGGAGCAACGCCGGCUACGUGUAGCCGGACUGAGAGUACCUGAAGAAAAAGCAUCGGCUAACUCCGUGCCAGCAGCCGCGGUAAUACGGAGGAUGCGAGCGUUAUCCGGAUUUAUUGGGUUUAAAGGGUGCGUAGGCGGAAUGCCAAGUCAGCGGUAAAAUCGCGGGGCUUAACCUCGCUACGCCGUUGAAACUGGCGUUCUUGUGUGGGCGAGAAGUAUGCGGCAUGCGUGGAGUAGCGGUGAAAGGCAAAGAUAUCACGCAGAACUCCGAUUGCGAAGGCAGCAUACCGGCGCCCAACUGACGCUGAAGCACGAAAGCGGGGGUAUCGAACAGGAUUAGAAACCCCGGUAGCG
rnacentral:rRNA from 1 species